rnacentral:rRNA from 1 species
GUCGAGGGGCAUCAGGAAGAAGCUUGCUUUCUUUGCUGGCGACCGGCGCACGGGUGAGUAACACGUAUCCAACCUGCCCUUUACUCGGGGAUAGCCUUUCGAAAGAAAGAUUAAUACCCGAUAGCAUAAUGAUUCCGCAUGGUUUCAUUAUUAAAGGAUUCCGGUAAAGGAUGGGGAUGCGUUCCAUUAGGUUGUUGGUGAGGUAACGGCUCACCAAGCCUUCGAUGGAUAGGGGUUCUGAGAGGAAGGUCCCCCACAUUGGAACUGAGACACGGUCCAAACUCCUACGGGAGGCAGCAGUGAGGAAUAUUGGUCAAUGGGCGCUAGCCUGAACCAGCCAAGUAGCGUGAAGGAUGAAGGCUCUAUGGGUCGUAAACUUCUUUUAUAUAAGAAUAAAGUGCAGUAUGUAUACUGUUUUGUAUGUAUUAUAUGAAUAAGGAUCGGCUAACUCCGUGCCAGCAGCCGCGGUAAUACGGAGGAUCCGAGCGUUAUCCGGAUUUAUUGGGUUUAAAGGGAGCGUAGGUGGACUGGUAAGUCAGUUGUGAAAGUUUGCGGCUCAACCGUAAAAUUGCAGUUGAUACUGUCAGUCUUGAGUACAGUAGAGGUGGGCGGAAUUCGUGGUGUAGCGGUGAAAUGCUUAGAUAUCACGAAGAACUCCGAUUGCGAAGGCAGCUCACUGGACUGCAACUGACACUGAUGCUCGAAAGUGUGGGUAUCAA